rnacentral:rRNA from 1 species
GACGAACGCUGGCGGCGUGCUUAACACAUGCAAGUCGAACGGAAAGGCCCUGCUUUUGUGGGGUGCUCGAGUGGCGAACGGGUGAGUAACACGUGAGUAACCUGCCCUUGACUUUGGGAUAACUUCAGGAAACUGGGGCUAAUACCGGAUAAGAGCUCCUGCUGCAUGGUGGGGGUUGGAAAGUUACGGCGGUUGGGGAUGGACUCGCGGCUUAUCAGCUUGUUGGUGGGGUAGUGGCUUACCAAGGCUUUGACGGGUAGCCGGCCUGAGAGGGUGACCGGCCACAUUGGGACUGAGAUACGGCCCAGACUCCUACGGGAGGCAGCAGUGGGGAAUAUUGCACAAUGGGCGGAAGCCUGAUGCAGCAACGCCGCGUGCGGGAUGACGGCCUUCGGGUUGUAAACCGCUUUCGCCUGUGACGAAGCGUGAGUGACGGUAAUGGGUAAAGAAGCACCGGCUAACUACGUG